GGAGGCAUGGCUUAGUGGUAAGAGUGUUUGCCUUAAAUGCAAAAAAUAUCCCUGAUUCAAUUUCCAAGCAUCUCCA